rnacentral:lncRNA from 1 species
UUUUCAUUUGAAUGUGGUGAUGAAGAGUUGAAGCUGGAAGAAGCCGCAUCCGAACAGCUGCUCCCCGUCGCUGCUUUAUGAGCCGCCUCAUCCAGCGACGCCGCUGCUUCUGAAGACACAGGAGCCGCCUCACCCGGUGAAGACUCGCGGUUGUUCCAUAGUGACUCUGCCACCACCUCUGUUGUUUCCGCACUAAAAUGCAGGUUUUUGCCAGCGCCUAAAUUUUCUCCGCUGCUUAUCAUGUUUAUUUUAGCUGUCCUUCCUCUGCAGAAUUGAGCGCAUGUUUUUUUUAUAAUAGUAUAGCCUUUGAAAACAUUAUAUUUCUUACCUGCACAUUACUUGAAACAUAGUUAAGCUGUGUAUAUUUAGUAGAUUUUCUGCUUACAUGCAAUUGUCCUUAACUCUGGUUACAUUUCUCUAUGGCCGCAAAAUUCAAGAAGUUGUAUAUAUACAUACUUUGGUCACGGUAUGAUCAUCAAAUCGAAUACAAUAUGAGUAUAUGACACUUCCCGCUAAAUAUCUUCAGCUAUAAAUCUGGUUAUGUACUUCUCUUUGUGUAAUUAAGACCGGAUUACUAGAUCUUACGCAAAUGGCUUUUUAUUUAAGCAAAUGUUGAUUUUAAUCUGUUGAAAUAUAGAUGGUCUUUGCAAAUCCAACGAAGGGGUGGGAAUAUCUGCAGCAUGAAGUUUCUCCUGCUGAUAGGGUGUUCUUUUUCACGUUUGUGGCAUGAUCAUGGUCUUCUGCUAUCAGUGGCAACGAUUCUUCUGCUGUUGUAAGUGAGGUCGUAAGUGUUGUGUUAUUACGUAUUAGAGAUAAAAGAUUACAUGUGUAUGAAGAAAAAUACUUGGGAGUAAGGCUGCGUUUGACCUUAGUUCUCACAAAAUUAAUUUCUAUUUGUUUGCUAGGUUGUGUGUCCUAACAUCACUACAUGUUGUAGUGUAUUUUUUUCCUUUAAAAUCCACAUUAUGCAAUUUGGCUUUAUAAGAGGUGUCACUUUAUUAUUAGUGCAUAUAUGCAAAUAAAGGAAAGAGGAG